AUUAACGCUAAUUUGGAAAUUGACGAAAAUUCUUAUAACGAGGAACCUGCAGCACUAGAACCAAAAUGAUCGGGUCGAGGAUGGAGGACGAUGAAGAAGAAGGGCCACCUCUAGCCGUUCAGAUUCAACAAGAUGAAUCGACGUCUCAGUAUUUCGACCCAGACUCGAAAGCUUCAGUUGGAGUUACCGUCAUCACUGGCUAUCUCGGAGCUGGCAAGUCUACUCUGGUUAAUUAUAUUUUGAAUUCUCAACACGGGAAGAGGAUCGCGGUCAUCUUGAAUGAGUUUGGUGAGGAAAUUGGGGUGGAAAGGGCUAUGAUAAAUGAAGGGGAUGGCGGUGCACUUGUUGAAGAAUGGGUUGAGCUUGCUAAUGGGUGUAUAUGUUGCUCUGUCAAGCAUAGUUUGGUUCAAGCAUUAGAGCAACUUGUACAGAGAAAGGAAAGACUCGAUCAUAUAUUGCUAGAGACUACAGGAUUGGCAAACCCAGCACCGUUGGCAUCUGUCCUAUGGUUGGAUGAACAGUUGGAAUCAGCAGUAAAGCUUGAUUCUAUCAUCACUGUGGUGGAUGCCAAAAACCUUCGUUUCCAGCUUGCUGAGCAUCGUGGUUCAUCAUCGUCGUUUCCUGAAGCAUACUUUCAGAUAGCAUUUGCGGAUAUUAUAAUUCUUAACAAGGUUGAUUUGGUCUCUCCAGAGGGUUCUGGAAGCAUUUUGGAUGGGCUUGAGGAGGAAAUUCAUAACAUUAACUCCCUUGCUGAGAUAAUUCAUUCUGUCCGCUGUCAAGUUGAUUUGUCAAAGAUAUUGAACCGCCAAGCUUAUGAUUCUGCACAUGCUUCACAUUUAGAGCAAUUAUUAGAAGAAAGCCGUUCCUUGUCCUCCAAGAAGCUUCAUGAUAGUGGUGUGAGAACUAUAUGCAUUUGUGAGUCACAGAAAGUUGAUCUUGAAAAGGCUCGGACAUGGCUUGAGGAGAUUCUCUGGGAGAAGAAAUAUGAUAUGGAUGUAUAUCGCUGCAAAGGAGUUCUGAGCGUAGAAAAUUCUGAUCAACUGCAUACUUUGCAGGGGGUGAGAGAAUUAUAUGAUAUUGUACCAACUCGCCUGUGGGGAAAAGAAGAAAAUCAGAUAAAUAAGAUAGUCUUUAUAGGUCAUAAUCUGAGAGAAGAUGUUCUCAUUGACUCCUUCAGAGCCUGUACAACCUGCUGAAGACUUUUUGGUAUAGAAGGGAACCUUAUGUAUUACUCUGCUCACUUCGAAAAACUAGAAAAGUCAAUUUUUGGGUAAGAAUAUAAAUCUGUCUUUUAUUUUUCUUUUACCAAAAGAAAGUUCUGGAUUUGGUUUUGAUGAAAUGAAGGAUUCCACUGUAAGUUGCUUUGCGAUUGGCUGGAUCAAGACCAUGGAAGAUUAUUUCUAGCGUUGUGGCAGAAAAAAUCCCAAAUUUGCUCUUUCACCAUACCAACAUCAAAUUCUUAGUUUCUGUAUUUUAAGCUUCACCUCAGUCACUGACUCUGGGUAGCCGAUUAUGAAGUUCAGAUUUGGACACUGUGUUUUCAUUCUCGUGCCGCUUGUUAGAAAGCUUUGAUGCCAAAUGCUGGUUUUGUAACAUAAUAAUGACUUGCUCUCUUGAAUGAUUCUUUGUGCAAUAACAGAUUGAAGGGCCAAAAAGAGAGCCAUAAUUAUCGUCGUAAGGAA